rnacentral:lncRNA from 1 species
AGAAUUUUAUCUUUGGAGAUAGCUAAGGUAAAAAUUAUAUAUAUAUAUGAUUUCUUUUAUAUAUAAAUAUAUGAAAAAUAUAUAUUCUUUCAUAUAUAUAAAUUUUAUAUAUGAUAUAUAUAAUUACUCUAUCUGAAAAUGAAAACUAUUUAGUAAAAUUUAGAAUUGUGCAAAUAUGAUAGAUUCCAUUUUAGAUAAUUUCUGUCAUUCUAAAAAGAUCUUUAAUGUCCAUUUUUAGUGAAAUCUGCUCCCACCCCCAGUCCCAGCAAACACUGAUAAAAUUUUCAUCUACUUAUUUUUGCUUUUCCUAGAAAUUUCAUAUAAAAAGAUAACCAUCUGAUAUGCUAUAUGUUUUACUAUCUUUUCUUUACUAUCUGUCUUCAUCACAGAUUGUAAUCUCUCUGAGGAAGGAGGCAUCUAUU